UUCGGGGGCACUCGAGUGGCGAACGGGUGAGUAACACGUGGGCAAUCUGCCCUGCACUUCGGGAUAAGCCUGGGAAACUGGGUCUAAUACCGGAUAGGACCUUUAGACGCAUGUCUUUUGGUGGAAAGCUUUUGCGGUGUGGGAUGGGCCCGCGGCCUAUCAGCUUGUUGGUGGGGUGACGGCCUACCAAGGCGACGACGGGUAGCCGGCCUGAGAGGGUGUCCGGCCACACUGGGACUGAGAUACGGCCCAGACUCCUACGGGAGGCAGCAGUGGGGAAUAUUGCACAAUGGGCGCAAGCCUGAUGCAGCGACGCCGCGUGGGGGAUGACGGCCUUCGGGUUGUAAACCUCUUUCACCAUCGACGAAGGUUCGGGUUUUCUCGGAUUGACGGUAGGUGGAGAAGAAGCACCGGCCAACUACGUGCCAGCAGCCGCGGUAAUACGUAGGGUGCGAGCGUUGUCCGGAAUUACUGGGCGUAAAGAGCUCGUAGGUGGUUUGUCGCGUUGUUCGUGAAAUCUCACGGCUUAACUGUGAGCGUGCGGGCGAUACGGGCAGACUAGAGUACUGCAGGGGAGACUGGAAUUCCUGGUGUAGCGGUGGAAUGCGCAGAUAUCAGGAGGAACACCGGUGGCGAAAGCGGGUCUCUGGGCAGUAACUGACGCUGAGGAGCGAAAGCGUGGGGAGCGAACAGGAUUAGAUACCCUGGUAGUCCACGCCGUAAACGGUGGGUACUAGGUGUGGGUUUCCUUCCUUGGGAUCCGUGCCGUAGCUAACGCAUUAAGUACCCCGCCUGGGGAGUACGGCCGCAAGGCUAAAACUCAAAGGAAUUGACGGGGGCCCGCACAAGCGGCGGAGCAUGUGGAUUAAUUCGAUGCAACGCGAAGAACCUUACCUGGGUUUGACAUGCACAGGACGCGUCUAGAGAUAGGCGUUCCCUUGUGGCCUGUGUGCAGGUGGUGCAUGGCUGUCGUCAGCUCGUGUCGUGAGAUGUUGGGUUAAGUCCCGCAACGAGCGCAACCCUUGUCUCAUGUUGCCAGCGGGUAAUGCCGGGGACUCGUGAGAGACUGCCGGGGUCAACUCGGAGGAAGGUGGGGAUGACGUCAAGUCAUCAUGCCCCUUAUGUCCAGGGCUUCACACAUGCUACAAUGGCCGGUACAAAGGGCUGCGAUGCCGCAAGGUUAAGCGAAUCCUUUUAAAGCCGGUCUCAGUUCGGAUUGGGGUCUGCAACUCGACCCCAUGAAGUCGGAGUCGCUAGUAAUCGCAGAUCAGCAACGCUGCGGUGAAUACG
rnacentral:rRNA from 1 species